rnacentral:tRNA from 1 species
UGUAGCUCAGUGGUAAAGUGCUUGCCUACUAUGUAGGAGGUCCUAGGUUCCAUCCCUAGUA